rnacentral:lncRNA from 1 species
GGGAACCCUGUUGAGAGCGUGUUGUAGGGAAUGAGGAUGGUGUUGGGUUCACCAGUUGAGAGAGAUGAAAAAGACCCUCCGUGCUUGCUGUGCUGCCAUCAUGUUUGUAUUUUGAAUUGAAUAUUCAAGAGGGAUUCUAGGAGUUGGUGUUGUAGGGGCUAAUUGGGUUGCAUUAAUCAAUGUGUUGUGGCUUUCAAAUAAAUGCUUUUGGCACCUAAUUUGUGUAAAGAAUAUUGAGAUUUUUUGUUUUCCUAUUCUGCCUGUGUGGAAUGAAAUGAACUUGUCACAUGUGUUAC